rnacentral:rRNA from 1 species
GACGAACGCUGGCGGCGUGCUUAACACAUGCAAGUCGAACGGAAAGGCCCUGCUUUUGUGGGGUGCUCGAGUGGCGAACGGGUGAGUAACACGUGAGUAACCUGCCCUUGACUUUGGGAUAACUUCAGGAAACUGGGGCUAAUACCGGAUAGGAGCUCCUGCUGCAUGGUGGGGGUUGGAAAGUUUCGGCGGUUGGGGCUGGACUCGCGGCUUAUCAGCUUGUUGGUGGGGUAGGGGCUUACCAAGGCUUUGACGGGUAGCCGGCCUGAGAGGGUGACCGGCCACAUUGGGACUGCGAUACGGCCCAGACUCCUACGGGAGGCAGCAGUGGGGAAUAUUGCACAAUGGGCGGAAGCCUGAUGCAGCAACGCCGCGUGCGGGAUGACGGCCUUCGGGUUGUAAACCGCUUUCGCCUGUGACGAAGCGUGAGUGACGGUAAUGGGUAAAGAAGCACCGGCUAACUACGUG